GGGGAAAAGCUCAAAUUUUAAAUCGGCGCAGGUUUUACCUGGUCGAGUUGUAAUUUGAAGAAGCGUUUACCGCGUCCGGGUCGACCCAAAUCCUUUGGGAUAAGGUAUCAUGGAGGGUGAGAAU
rnacentral:rRNA from 1 species